CGGGACGGGUGAGUAAUGUAUGGGGAUCUGCCUGAUGGCGGGGGAUAACUACUGGAACGGUAGCUAAUACCGCAUAACGUCGCAAGACCAAGAGGGGGACCUUCGGGCCUCGCGCCAUCAGAUGAACCCAUAUGGGAUUAGCUUGUAGGUAAGGUAACGGCUUACCUAGGCGACGAUCCCUAGCUGGUCUGAGAGGAUGAUCAGCCACACUGGGACUGAGACACGGCCCAG
rnacentral:rRNA from 1 species